rnacentral:rRNA from 1 species
GUGAGGAAUAUUGGUCAAUGGGCGGGAGCCUGAACCAGCCAAGUAGCGUGCAGGAUGACUGCCCUAUGGGUUGUAAACUGCUUUUAUGCGGGGAUAAAGUGAGGGACGCGUCCCUUUUUGUAGGUACCGCAUGAAUAAGGACCGGCUAAUUCCGUGCCAGCAGCCGCGGUAAUACGGAAGGUCCGGGCGUUAUCCGGAUUUAUUGGGUUUAAAGGGAGCGCAGGCCGAUGGUUAAGCGUGACGUGAAAUGUAGCCGCUCAACGGCUGAACUGCGUCGCGAACUGGCUGUCUUGAGUGAGUACGACGUCAGCGGAAUUCGUGGUGUAGCGGUGAAAUGCUUAGAUAUCACGAAGAACCCCGAUUGCGAAGGCAGCUGACGAGUCCUUUACUGACGCUAAAGCUCGAAGGUGCGGGUAUCGAACAGG